AAAACUCACAUUAAUAAUGCAACCCACAAGCAUUCUGGUUAUUUUUACAUGUGGAUUUUAACUCAGAUACUUUCCAUAGUUGAAUUUUAAAAUGACAACUGAUUUUGACAUUCAGCAAAGCAGGAAGUUAAGGUGUAGUUUUAGGAUCUCUCACAUCUGCGUCUGAGGCUGAGGUUCUCCUGGGUAAGGAGGCUGCUACCCUGAGUCCAGGUCUGCUCUGUCCUACCCUAGGGAUUGUAUGAUGUUGUGUGGUUUGAGAGAAGCUAUUUUUCUCUGUUACUUCCCUUCCGUGAAGGUAGAAGCUCUGAGUGUCACUACUGGUGGGAAAAGUUUAGUUUUUAUUAAUAGUUAUUGCCUUGAUAGUCCCAGUGAACUAUGUAAAUAAUAGCACUCCCCCAAAAAGAGUUAAAAAAUUUUAAGGAGGUUCUUUUUAAUGAAAGCAAUGAUUUGGUCAUAAGACAAUCUAAGAGUAUGAUUGAUACACAUGGUGUGGCUCAUUUAAAUGAACGUAGAGUGGAUGGUGUGAGGCCACACAUUUGCAUCAGAAGCAGUGACUCUGUUACAACAAAGUAGUUCUGGAGACUUUGAGUUUUUAGGAUGAGCUUACCAUGAGUCUUUAAUGUGCAUAAUGUAAAUGGAAAGUGAUGCUCUCUCUAGGAAGUCAGGAAGUACCCAGCACAGGAGCCGUGUGGUUUUUAAGUUAUGGUGGUCUUGCUUUGCUGUUUAUGCUGAGAGUCCUCAGGCUGUGGAGAGAGGUGCUUUCCCAGGUCAGGGCUGGACAGCUACCCAGAUGAAGCACACUGGUCAUUGCAUCAGAGUUGUAUGCACAGAGAGAUACAGGCUGUGCUUUCUGUGUUGAGAAACUCUCGGUUAUUUAAUUUUUCCAGUAUGUGUUCUCAUAACUGAUAAUUAUGUUACAUAUCCUUGUGUUUUAGUAACUGUUUCUAUAAUUGAGUAGUCAAUGUAAAAAAAGAAACUGAAAUACUAUUUUUACUACAGAAUGUCCUCAAUUAAUGAGUUUCAUCUGUUAUGGAAAUAUGUGCAUUCAUUUUCUGGAUAAAGUCACCAUGGUCAUUUAAUUGUAUCUGCUCUUGGUGUAAUUGAACAAGGUUUGUUUGGUCUCUUCCUACAGUGUUAUCCAAGCUACUGUUUUUCAUGUAAUUUUAACAUUCUUGAUAGUGCCACUUAAAAGCCACAGGAAUCAUCGUAGUUUAAUUGCCCAGCCUUAGAUAGUACUGAUUUUGUAUAGUCAAGAAGAUAAAAAUUCUUUCCUUUAGGAUUUUAUAACAUAAAACAAGAAGUAAAGGGGAAAUUGGGGCCAGGGUAAUGAACGGGGCUGGAUCUUAGUUUUCCCCUUUCUCUCUCAGAAUAUGAAGCAGGGAGCAUUGUGUGUUCACUGUGUGUGCUUGUGUGCAGCUCUAGAGGGGCCAUGGGAAGAAUGUGGCUUAGUAGGGACCAAGAAACACGAUGCCAGCACAGUCCCUGGGAUCAGUUCUCUGUGUGGCUGUACUUGAGCACUUGCUUAAGGCAAGGCAGAUUGUUUUGUUCCCUCUGUCGUCCCUUUUCAUAUUUACUUCCUUCUUGUGCUCUAAAACUUUUGUCAAUCCUUAACAAAACUGUGUUCUUGCCUUUUUAAAUGUUAAAAGAAUUUCAAUAUUGUCAACUGUAGUUUGCCUGUAUGAAAAUGUACAGUGUGUGUCAAUAUAUCUGCUAAUACUAUUAA
rnacentral:lncRNA from 1 species